rnacentral:sRNA from 1 species
AGAUGCUGGCACCGAAGCCGGGGGGACAGCCGGUGUGGAGGACGGAGAGCGCCACUGCCUGAGGGCUGGCCGGCUAGGUAGCGGGAAACCAGCUUCUCUGACCGAAGCUCUGGACUCUGCUGAUCCGGAGCGCUGAAGUGUGUCCGGUGCCACCCUGAUGCUCUCCUGGGAGUUGUGUUGCUCCUGGCUGAGAAAUAGACUUACUUCUUUCUUAGAUAGCGCUCCUGCGAGUGAUUUUCAGGACGCUGGAUGCUAAGACUAGACGAAGGAAGCCAAAGCCCCCGCGAGUCAGGCAGGCCGGUGUCACGGCCCUAUGAUUAUGGCAAGGGGGACCCUCUGCCUGGCUGCUGUUUCCUGAGACCCGUUCGGAACCUCACGUGUACCUCGAAGUUCACCGUUUUCCUCCCAAAGAACCUGGCUAAAUGUUCAUAAUGGCUGAGUUUUAUUUUGGGACAUAAUUUCUUUGGUUCUUCACCACCACUUUUUGGAGAGUGGUAAUGUCUUCCUCUUUUUGCUUUAGGAGAAAAGUCUCUCGCUCUGUUGCCCA